UACAGAGGGGGCAAGCGUUGUUCGGAAUUACUGGGCGUAAAGGGCGCGUAGGCGGCCUUCUAAGUCGAACGUGAAAUCCCCGGGCUCAACCCGGGAACUGCGUCCGAUACUGGAAGGCUUGAAUCCUGGAGAGGGUGGUGGAAUUCCCAGUGUAGAGGUGAAAUUCGUAGAUAUUGGGAGGAACACCGGUGGCGAAGGCGACCACCUGGACAGAGAUUGACGCUGAGGCGCGAGAGCGUGGGGAGCAAACAGG
rnacentral:rRNA from 1 species